GGGUCCUGGAUAUGUUUUGGGUGGUCGCGUGCGUAAGGCCAGGCCCACCACGGACGCCACUGUUCAGGACCUCGUCGACAUCGGCAUCCAAAGCGCCUGCAGGAAUGGCUUCCCUGGCUGCUUGCGCCAUCGGUCUCGCGAGUUCCCCUGCGAUGUCAAGACGACACUAUCUUGCUGCUAAGCCUUGGACGACUAGGACUUCCUCCUGCAGAACUGGCAUCACCAUCGAGUAUGGCAGGGUCGACAUAAUAUCCACCCCUGGUGCUUUGGUUACAUGCGACCAAAGAAGCCGAGCUGCCUUUCGUCGCUAGUUGUUUGGAUUAUCGCUGUCAAGGAUUGUGCUAAAGGCUGUUGGAUAUUAUCGAAAAGACCUACCGAAACAGCUUUGUAACGUUAACUUGAUGUUAUUUCUUGGGUAAUACCUGCUGACCAAAGAUUGGAUGGGACUAUUAACUGCAUAACCAGAGAAGGAAAAUGAACAUUUGAUGUUUCUGGAUUAACUAAUGGCAAGUAUUUGCCCGAUGGGAAAGAAAAUUACCAUCUUGAACUCCGUAAACUUGAACUGCCGUAACAGUUAAUUCCUGAGGUUACAAUGAAUGGUUCUUUCAGAACGCUUAAUUGGAAUGUAGCCCUGCAGCAUGGUUCAGUUCCACCAAGGUUUGUUUGAUAUGCAAUGUUAGGCUUUACGCUUUUGUGUCUGUGAAAAGUAACUACUUUUGUUCACGAGUUCAUUUUGCAAAUCCGAUAUUAUUGGCAACAUGCUCCCACUUCUGUGCUAUUUAUAUUCCAUGGGGUUCCAAGUGUUGGUGUCUUUCUCUCAUGUUUUAGUUGGAUGGGAUCUCUUUCAUAUGCCAUCAAUAUGUUUACUUCUUUGUGCUAGUAGAUUUUUCAAUACACUAUACUCAUGGAGCUGUAGCUUCUAUGAAAUAUUGGGUUCUGGUUGUGGUAGUGUUGCUGUUGUGCUGGCCGCAGCCAUUCCUCAUCUUCGACCUCUUCAGUUGAGUUCCUAGUUCAUCCCUCUGCAGUGUGCAUGUCCUGCUGGAAAAUUCAGUUCAAUUGUUGGUUUUACUGGUAUGGCUAGCCCAUUCUCCAUUGUGUUAGAUUUCAAAAAAGAAGUACAAAGAGGCAUGCACAUCAAUAUCUAGCUGAUUGAGAUCAACUUGUCCCGAAAUGAAUUCUGGAGCAGUCCAAAUUAGGAUAACUGUAAUACCAAUCAAUUGUCACUCCUAGAUCAUGGAAUGAGCAUAAUAUGUACAGGAGUGGUGCUCUUUGUUUGACUCGCCGUCACUCUCAAAUAGAUUGAUAGGUACACACAUGUAUUGGUUGUAACCCUAAAAAGAUGCUUUUUUUCUAUUGAGGCAUGCAUGUUGUGUGAAGCGGUUGUUGUGGCCAGUCUCUGUUUCCUGAAUGGUUUUGAUUGCUAUUGGCUUGAUUGAUCAGUUAGGCAUCAAUCAAAGCCUGGACGUAGAAAUGUUGCAUGUGUGUGUGUGGUGCUACUAGGUACUAAGCUAAUUGUCUGAAUCCCUUCUGCAUAUAAAACUACAUGGGCUUCUGUAAUUUGUGUUGCUUGACCCCUAAGCAUGGUCACUCAACUACUAGAGUUUAUGUGGCGAUGAUUUUCUUGCUUCCCCAGAUGCUAGCUACUUCUUGGCUAAGGAAUUAUAUAAGAAUAUAUCCUAUCUACCAUUCAGUUAUGGUUGUAGAACUGAUAGGAACAUAAUAAAUGCUGCACUUGAUUGGGUAGUUUCUUAAAGUUCAAUGGUAUCAUUUUCCUUAGUCGAUAUUCUGUAGAUAUUGUCCCUGCUUGCUAUCUUUUAGCAACUCAUCCAGCUUUUAACUCUUGACACUUGCUAACUUAUUGC